UGCCAGUAGUUGACCUCAAAGUGUAUAAAUUGGGAAGUGGCGUGACUACGGUGGCUUUUCACUUCGCACUGUUCACCAGUGUUUCCAAGUCUUUACACAGGGAAGAGAGAUCGCAGCCGAAUAGCAAUCUAACCAAAUUAACGUGGAAAUGAAUUCUUGGUGGAUUUUAAUCAUUUCCCUAGGAAUGCUUGCUGUUCAAAAUCUCUUAGUGGACGCUGGCCCAGUGGACAUGAGAAUGUUUCCUAGAGAACAAGAAGAAUACGAAAGAAGCUGGCUAGAAGAAAAGAGAGGCCUCUGCCAUGAUAUGAAACCAAUCAAAUGCAUUUGGGAGCAAAAUCUGUGCAAUCACCUAAACCAUGCAAACUAUCAGGACUUCCUCGCCUUCGCUUACGUGGAGUGUCCCCAGACGUGCAGGAUGUGUUGAGAGACAAUUUACUAGGAAACGGCAAGAAUUCAUGUUUACAAGAAAAGUUAGAUGUUCCUCUAAAAACCUCUGACCAGCUAUCGAGAUAUGUAUUCAUAUUGCAAAGAAGUUCUUCUGUUUAUGAAGCAUUACCCUCCAGAUUCAGCUAUUUUUUUAUUUUGGUCAAUGUUAUUCGUAUAGUUAUACUACCCUUAUCAAUAAAAAUUCUCUUAGCCUACAAUUGUUGUACUGACUAGUUCAGAGCUGAUCUACGAAAAUUAGUGGAUAAUUAGUUUUCCUUAGAAUAUUUUAGCAUUUUAAGGCUGGGUAGUUUUUUUUGUGUGAUUAAAUUCCUUGUAACAUUUCCAAGUUAAAAUAUCAAAAUGUGUGCGUAAUA